UUCAAAUUGAAUAUAAUACCUACUUUAUAAAUCAAAAGCUAAACGAUUUUAGGCAUUUGACUUGUCAAGAGGAGAGAUAAAGAUUUAGUGCUGGAUAUUAAGUAUUUUAUUGGUGAUAAGACACCUUCUAACUUUUAACUAUGCUGUACAUCUAUGUUAAACCAUAUAUUAAAUGGUUUUGAUUUGUGUUUACAACUCUAUCAUCCAAAAAUCCCAAUUGUUCCUUUUUGUAGAAAUAUUUCUUACUCUCCUAUAACCAUUAAUGAAGGUUUGAAAGGCCUGGUUUAAGAAUACUAGUAUAUUUUGGGACAAAUAUUAGAUCAGCCAAAUUAAUUUCUGAACAAUGUUUGCCCGGGUUUGAAGCUGGAACCGUUUGGAGUGACAUAAUUAAUCAAGAGGAAUGACAUAAUUAAUUGAGAUCGACUUGGAACUCCUGGAACUGUUUGAAGCUGUUUGAAUCUGUUGAUUGCCUUUGGUGAUUUGGAGCCAGAAUAUUUUAGCCUUUAGAAAUUCAGGUAUUUGGGAUCACCUGCAGCUAAUUAAAAUUUUGGAAUAAUCUGAUUAGGAGCUGAAAACAGUAGAAUUUCAAACCAUGAUAUAAAUGCUAACUAUAAUGUGAAAAACUUUAUAAUGCUAAAUUCUAACUACUGUAUAGAUCUUGAAGAUGUUUUGAUCUUUUAAGUUUUUGCAAACUUAAGACACUGUGAUAUGAGGCUAUUCUGAUGCUGUCUAGCAAACAAGUUAAUUAUGUCCCUCCAAGACUUAUUAUUUUGCGGCUUCAUGAUGCACAUUAAGCCUAUUUCAGUGGCACAAUGGAAUUUGUGAAAUUGCUAUAAUCUUUUGAUACAUUCGUAAUAUCUAAUUUCUUCUGAAAAAAAUGAAAUAAGUGAUCUUAGAGUUUUAGAUUUUCUGAAAUAGGAUAUUGAGAGGAGUUAAUAUGUUUAUUACCUAUGCAGAGCUUUACACUUUUGCUCUUAGUGUGGAACAAUCAGAGCUGUUAGUUCAUAAGUAAUUGGCUUCAUGAGUUCAGCAUUUCUCAAAAUAAAUGAAGAAAGUUCACUCGCAAGUUAGGAGAAGAUCCUCGAAGUGUAUCAUUUUUCAACUUCAGUUAUACCAGGUGAAAAUUGUUUUCUCAUGAGUUUCUCUAUAACUUAAGUUUGAUGGAGUUGUAUGUGCUAAAGUUAGAUUAUUAAUGCAUGUGAAAUCCAAGUUCGAACUGUUUUUUAUGGUUAUUGGAGGAGAGACAUUAAUUCGUUUGAUUAUGCAUAAAAGUUACAGAGCACCUUUUGUCUAUCCUCUGAAGUAUGGUUGAUACAACAAAAACUCAGAAAAUGUGUUAUCAGAAGCAAGGUUUAGUUCAAUGGCCAAUAAACUGGAUGACCAGUAAACUUUUACUGAUGGUGUUGAAGUGAUGUAAAUGCAAGAGUUCAGUCUCGACUCCUUUUUUCUUACAAUAGUGAUUUGUUUAAACAAUUUAUUUGAAGUAAUUUGUUUACUAUUUUUCUCUUCCCUCCAUCCUUACUGGAUAUUUAUCCAUGAUUUGUGGAACAACAUACUUUUUCUUUUUUCUUUAUGCUUGAUGAUCUGCUCCUUGUUUUGAAGUGCAAUAUUCUUACUUAUUGACUGGGUCAGAUUCACUUCUAUUCACCUUUUCUGAAAAAACCAAGUUUCAGAUUUUGAAAGGCAU